UCUCUUUCUCUUUCGCACUCGACAACAAUAAGGUCAAACUUAAAAGAAAAUGCUCACAUCUCGUUCGGUACCGCCAUUGAAGGAGCCUUUGAAGCUCUGGUAUCUCUCUCGGCUCAGGGUAACACAAAAACAAGUAAAAGAUGCAAGCAAAUACAAACCAAACCCUAACCCCCAAAUCGAACUCUUAUACCCCAAUCCAUUAAUAAUCAGUGAUUACAGUUACAUAAUGAAAUCAAAAGCAAGAUUUAAAGUAAUCACAAUAUAAUUGACAAAAGGAUAAAGAUAUACUUCAAGUUACCGAAACACCGACAACAAGCUCUGAUGCGGCUAGGGAACUUUCCGGUACAACGCUUUUAUUCCCAGGCUAUGGUUUGUCUACUUUGGUGAAUGUUUUGGAGUAUUGUUGCAGAAUUUUUUUUGGACUAGUGUGGUGUAGCAGGCAAGUGGAGCAGCAACUUUGAGCAGGUUGCUUGAUGAUGGAGCAGUAUUUUGUUUUAUGCAGGUUUGUACAAAGAUGAUGGUUGGAAGGUGCAUAUACUGGGCCGAUGCAUACAUUGGGCCAAAGAAUUGUAUCUUUUAUUUUUUGUUUUGUUUUGUAUUUGGACUAAUAUAUGUACAAUAAUAAAAUAAUAAAAGAUGAAAUAAAAAACAAAAAUUAUUUUAAA